rnacentral:lncRNA from 1 species
UUUCGGAGUGUUGUUACAUUGAGCUGCUGAAAUAAAAAUUUCUUAAUUAAUCAUGUCUAAUGAGUGGUUAGGAUAUUUCCUAUCUUUGUAUAAAAAAUAUUUUAGGAGCACCGUAGAACUCCCAUAGAGACAUAUAUGUGGUGACAUUCGGAUUUCUUGUUAGGAGGUAUUUAUGUUAUUUUAUCAUUUGUUUGGGAUUAUUUUCAUCAUUAUGAACGGGAUAUUUUUUUAUGUGGUGGUUCGAUGUCGGAUUCGAAGAAAUAUAAUUAUCAUAAUUAAAACUAAUUCUUAAAUAUUCUUAAAUAAUUAAAUCGUUUCCUUUCUCCAUCUCACAACUAGGGGUGCAAUCGAGCCAAGUUGAGUUGAGUAGCUGGAAUCUUGAGGUCGACUCGACUCAAAAUAUUUGGAUUCAAAACUCGACUUAAGAUCGAUCGAGCCUUAAUAUCUUAAGCUCGAGCUCGGCUCGAUGAAAAAUAAGCAAAACUCGAGAUGAACUUGAUUCGACUUGAAUAUCAAUCAAGCCAUACUUGAACUCUAGUUUGAGCUCAAAAUCGAGCUUUAGUCUAUUAAUAAUAUACAUAUUAAUAUAUAUUAUAAAUAAAAAUAAUAUUAUUAAAAGUACAUAUAAAUUCGAGUAGGCUUACGAGCUUUUAAAUCGAAUAUCUUACUCGAUUCGAAAACCUAUUCGAGCUCGAUUUGAUCUCGAUAAUAACCAAGUGGAGUCGAGCUCGGACUCGAGUAGCUCUCUAGCAGCUCGACUUGUUUGCACCUCUACUCACAACUACUCUUCUGAAUUAAAUUUACUCUCUCUCAACCCCCCUUCCAGUGGUUUCUCUACCCUCCCUUUUCUUUCUUGGAGGGUUUUGGAUGUCUCUUCUCCACCCUAACCCUAGUGCUUCCAAGAGAAAUCCCUAUCCUUCCAUCUCACUUUCCCUCUUUCGUCUUGUCUAUGGGUUUGUUGGGUGGAAUCACUUCUCGCUAUCGCCAUUGAAGACUUCCCACUGAAUUUCAUGUCAUGUGAACUUGGUCAUGCAUCAUAUAUCUAUAUGAAGUAUGGCAAUUGUAAUUAUAUGAAUACCCAUAUGAUAAAGUGCAGAAUAUAAAUACUUAAUAUGUAUCUUUCAGAGUGUUGUUACAUUGAGCUGCUGAAAUAAAAAUUUCUUAAUUAAUCAUGUCUGAUGAGUGGUAAGGAUAUUUUCUAUCUUUGUAUAAACAAUAUUUUAGGAGCACUGUAGAACUCCCACAAAGACAAAUAUGUGGUGACUUUCGGAUUUCCUAUUAGGAGGUAUUUAUGUUAUUUUAUCAUUUGUUUGGGAUUAUUUUCAUCAUUAUGAAUGGGAUAAUUUUAUGUGGCGGUUUGAUGCCGGAUGUGAAGAAAAAUAAUUAUCAUAAUUAACACUAAUUCUUAAAUAUUCUUAAAUAAUGAUUUAAAAUCAUUUUCUUUCUCCACCUCACAACUAGGGGUGCAAUUGAGUCAAGUCAAAUCGCAUAGCUGGAAGCUUGAGCUCGAUUCGAUUCAAAAUAUUUAGACUCAAAACUCGGCUCAAGAUCGAUCGAGCCUUAAUAUCCUAAGCUUUAGUUCGGCUCGAUGAAAAAUAAGCCAAACUCGAGAUCGACUUGACUUGACUCGAAUAUCAAUCGAGCCAUACUUGAACUCAAGUUCGAGUUCAAAAUUGAGCCUAUGUCUACUAAUAAUAUAUAUAUAUAUUAAUAUAUAUUAUAAAUAAAAAUAAUAUUAUUAUAAGUAUAUAUAAAUUCGAGUAGGUUCACGAGCUUUUGAGCUGAGUAUUUUGCUACUCGAGCUCAAUUUGAAAAACUAUUCGAGCUACUCGAACUCGACUGGAACUCGAUAAUAAUCAAGUCGAGUCUGGACUCAAGUCGAGCUUAGACUCGAGUCGAGCUCGGACUCGAGUCAAGCUCGAGUAGCUCUCAAGUGGUUCGACUCGUUUGCACCUCUACUCACAACUACUUUUCCGCAUCAAAUUUACUCUCUCUCAGCCCCACUUCCAGUGGUUUCUCUGCUCUCCCUUUUCUUUCUUGGAGGAUUUUGGACGUCUCCUCUCCACCCUAACCCUAAUGCUUCCAAGAGAAAACCCUAUCCCUCCAUUUUACUUUCCCUCUUUGGUCUUGUCUGCGAGCUCGUUGGAUGGAAUCACUUCUAGCUAUCACCAUUGAAGACUUCCCAAUGUCUCUUUGCUUGCUCUAUUCAACAUGGAGUAGGUAUUAAGAGACUUUGGAAGCUAGCAUAGCAGAGUAAUCAAAGAUCUCUCUCCCGCUUGUUAGGUUCUUGGAAGUAUUUUAAAAGAUCAUUAGAGGCUCUAUUUCCUUCAUGGUUUUGCAGGUCCCGAGAAGCUGUACGAACAAUGCCAUCCCAAUG